rnacentral:rRNA from 1 species
UACAGAGGUCUCAAGCGUUGUUCGGAUUCAUUGGGCGUAAAGGGUGCGUAGGUGGUGCUGUAAGUCAGGUGUGAAAUCCCGGGGCUCAACCCCGGAACUGCACUUGAUACUGCAGUGCUCGAGGACUGGAGAGGAGAUCGGAAUUCAUGGUGUAGCAGUGAAAUGCGUAGAUAUCAUGAGGAAGACCAGUGGCGAAGGCGGGUCUCUGGACAGUUCCUGACGCUGAGGCACGAAGGUCAGGGGAGCAAACGGG